CCCCCAAACAAAGAAGGGGGGUCACACGGAGAGAGCCUUACCAACGACUCCCAAAUGCAAAUCCUCUGAAGAGACCAAACAAACAAACAAACAAACCCGUACAUUUGUCUAAGAAAGUGAAAAGCUGGCGGGCAAAAAUAUGUAUGUUGAAGUUAAAGACAAAUGAGAAAGUGGGAGACGAGGCUUUUCUGCCUGGGACACACGAAAGACCCGGGGCUAACUUCCCUAAUAAACGAAGAAUUCUUGGAAACCGAUACCGUACAGACCAAAUCGCGCCUGAAAAAUGGGCAAAAAGGGAGGACACUGGCAAUUCACAGAAAAGCACAAAUGGCCGACAGACCUGCGGGACAGAACUCAUGACCCGACUUCCAAAGACCGAAAAACCGAGAGCGCGACUCGCGCGCUUCAGCGGCCGCUCUCCUCACGCGGCCGCGCGUGCCGCCGCCGGGCCGGUCCACCGCCGUCCAGCCGGACGGUUGAUGUGCGGGGCGCAUCGCCGCCUGAGGACCUGUGCGGCGGGAAACGCGGUGGCACCGCGCGGGACAGACGACCAUCGAGGACUCGGUUGUCAGUCACACCGUCGGUCAGGCCGAAGCGUGCAGCCACGACCCGGGCGUCUUCCCUCCCCAGGGAUUGAACACGCGACUCCUGCAUUGGCAAACUGAGCCACCUGGGAAGCUCUUAAAAGGGCAUGCUGCACCAAAAGUUAAGAGUUCUUGUCACCCGGGCACGCAGGAGACGAGCUUCCACUAGCUUUUGCUGGAAGAUGUUGACAUGCUGCAGCCCCAGAUUCCAGACUCCAAAUAAAUCUUCAGUUGCCUGAUAAUCGUCUCCCCGCCAGCUUCUUCCCACCAAGUGCUGUUCCACGGGGUCAGCUGAAAUGCAGAUUCUCCAGGAAGGAUGAUGGGCGAUCAGUGGUGAGAUUAUUCUGUGUUCUUAGCGUGGAUGAUUACAUAGCUGUAUGCUCAGGCCUUGUUCACAUAUAUGGUUAAGUGAACAUAACAUUCAUAUACCAUAAUAUAUAUGGUUGUUACAUCUAAUAAGACGAUGGAAAUUCUGUGAUAAUCACUUCAUGGUGUUUGUGAGUCAGAUCGUGACUCUGUAUGCCUUACACCUACAUGCUGGAUGUCAGAGAGAUAUCAGUGAAACUGGAAGGAAAAAAAUAAAGAAAAGAGUCCUCCAUGGCAUAAGUGGAGACACAGUCUAGAGAGAAGACUCAUUUUGUUGUCCACAAAGACGUGGGUUUUGACACCUGUAGAGGUGGAAUUCUGUCCAGUCACACGUACGGUGUGGAACGAGCGAGGCCUGGGCUGGGGUGGAGACGUGGGGACUGAGCAGAACUGGGGAGAGGAUGACGUGGUGUGGGGAGAGGAGAGAGAGGGGGAAUAAAAUAAACAUUCAUUAAAAUUUUUUAAAUGAAAGAAAAA
rnacentral:sRNA from 1 species